CUCAAGCCAGUUUCUGUAGAUCAGCGCCUGACUGAUGCUCCCACCGAUUAAUACGAAAUAAAGAGGUAGCUCCCUGUCCUCAGAGGAAGGAAGAAUAACUAUUUUGGCACUUCUGUUUGAAUCUAUCAUCAACUGAGGGUACUACAUCAUGCAUCAAGGCAUGUGUGAGGCGCAAGGAGUCACAUAUGGAUGAGGAGGAGCUGGCAGGCACGGUAUCCGAUAAAUCUGCCCUGAGUAAGACCCGAACAUCUAAAUAAGAAGGGAGUAGCAGUUUCUCAAGCUGUGACUGAGGUUCAAAACGUACGUGCCUGAUUCACGAUCUCCAUGACCUCGUAACCCAAGAUGAUUGACAGUCCGCCAGUGGGGCUAUUUACCUCCCUUAGGAAAACAACAACAGCCAUCUCUGAAGCAAUCUGCAGGAACCAGUUAGCAGGCCAGGGACAUGUCUGAGCUACCGCAUGAGACACAUCAUGUGCAGACUGAGCUGUGCCUGCUGCAGGAGUCACCUGCAGCUUCCGCACGCAGGAACCACUGAACGUGAGCAGAUCAGCUUCCUCUGAACUCAUCAAAUGGUAGAUCCAGUUUCUUCUCUGGCAGCCAUCCAGACACGAUCCUGGACAGCCUGCUCUAAGUGACCCUGCUUAAGCAGGGCGGUUGGACUAGAAGGUCUGCAAAGUUCCCUUCCAACCUCAACCGUUCUGUGACUCUGUGAAGAUAGUAUUAAUAACUGCCUGGGCUGCUUCAAGCCUGGCUGGAUGGCAAUGCUGGCUCAUGCAAACCCUCUGACCUUGUAACUUGAUGCUUGAAAAUAUCUGCCUUCAGAAAUCUCCUCCUUUAUUUACUAACAGCUGUAACUGUUCCUUCCCAAUGCUGAGUUUUACUCUUGGAAAAGUAGAUAUUUGAAGCUUUGUCAAGACAUAAACCGGGAAACAGCAGGCAAUUCUAAGAGUAAGAUAACCUUGGGGAAAAAAAAAAGUGGUAGUAGCUCUCUUGCAAAUUCCUGACCUUCACACAUGUGUCCUAAAAGCCAUAGUUCUUUAAACGUUUUAAAUUUCAUCCAGGAUGCUUGGCCUCUGAAGAGUAUUAUGGUUUAUAGCUAACAAGGCAAGUAAUACACUUGGUCCAACUGGCAAUAUGUGAGAUUCAUUGGGUGAUUCGUUUUCCUUUCAACUUACUUUGCUGGGUUUUUUUCCCCACCAAAUGAUCUAUCC
rnacentral:lncRNA from 1 species